rnacentral:rRNA from 1 species
CAUGUGUAAGUAUAAAUAAUUCUACUUUGAAACUGCGAAUGGCUCAUUAUAUCAGUUAUAGUUUAUUAGAAAAAAUGUACUACUUGGAUAACCGUAGUAAUUCUAGGGCUAAUACAUGAAUGAAUCCUCGACUUUGAAGAGGUGUGUUUAUUAGUAUGAAAACCAUAUGCUUCGGCAUGAUAGUGAGUAAUAAUAACCUUUCGUAUCGUAUGUUGACAUAACGAUAGUUCUUUCAAGUUUCUGCCCUAUCAGCUUUCGAUGGUAGUGUAUUGGACUACCAUGGCAGUAACGGGUAACGAAGAAUUUGGGUUCGAUUUCGGAGAGGGAGCCUGAGAGAUGGCUACCACAUCCAAGGAAGGCAGCAGGCGCGUAAAUUACCCAAUCCUGACAGAGGGAGGUAGUGACAAUAAAUCACAAUGCGGGACUAUUUAGUUUUGCAAUUGGAUUGAGAACAAUGUACAAGAGUUAUCGAUAAACAAUUGGAGGGCAAGUCUGGUGCCAGCAGCCGCGGUAA